rnacentral:rRNA from 1 species
AACGAACGCUGGCGGCAUGCCUAACACAUGCAAGUCGAACGAGACCUUCGGGUCUAGUUGCGCACGGGUGCGUAACGCGUGGGAACCUGCCUUUAGGUUCGGAAUAACUCAGAGAAAUUUGAGCUAAUACCGGAUGAUGUCUUCGGACCAAAGAUUUAUCGCCUUUAGAUGGGCCCGCGUUGGAUUAGCUAGUUGGUGGGGUAAAGGCCUACCAAGGCGACGAUCCAUAGCUGGUCUGAGAGGAUGAUCAGCCACACUGGGACUGAGACACGGCCCAGACUCCUACGGGAGGCAGCAGUGGGGAAUAUUGGACAAUGGGCGAAAGCCUGAUCCAGCAAUGCCGCGUGAGUGAUGAAGGCCUUAGGGUUGUAAAGCUCUUUUACCCGAGAUGAUAAUGACAGUAUCGGGAGAAUAAGCUCCGGCUAACUCCGUG